UAAGUUAUUGGAUAAACCUUCAAAAUUCAUUUUCGCAGAGGUUUCUGUGAACAUCAGUCAUCGGGUUGGACUAAAGAGUUUAGGGUUUGCAAAAGUGAAAUGCUAGCCGUUGCGAAGAGUGCAGGUGUUUUAACUUGCAUUGGUAACUAUUUCAACAUUUAAAACACAAAAACUUCAACCUCAAAAAGGCUUGUGGAUCUUUAGGAAUUGUUUCGUGUAGUUAUCCCUCACAAAAACACCUUAGUUUCGUUGAAAGAGUUAGGGGAAGAAGAUCUAAAACCAAUGGAGUCAGUUGCAGGAGAGUAUCUGCGCUACUCAACUGAAUUGUUUCGUGUAGUUCUCAGCUGAUUACUGUGAUAAUGUGCUCUUUCUUUGGCUGCAUGCUCAUGAAAUGUUUGAUUACUUUUACUUAUACGGUAUAUAUUUGGGUGACAUGAGUGUCUGCGCUACUCAACUUCUCCACCUAUUGGAUUUUCUUAUUUCUUGUUAGAACUCUUGCAUGUCUUCAGUCAUAAAUUAGGACAGAAGUGCAGUUUGGUUUUGUAUGUGUGUUGUAGUGUCAGAUUCAGAUUUGUUGCAUCAUAUAAAAUACACUUGUUAUAUUGCUCAUGUGUUGAUGAUAUGGAACUGGAAAUUGAAGACGUUGAUCUGACCCUGUCCCCUGAGCACCCUGAUGGGCAAGGCCACCUUUGAUGACAUAGCCGAAUGCCAACCGAACUUACAGCCUAGCCAAAUAUCAGAAGGAAACUGGGGAAACAAUUCCUCACAAACUGGUGAAUCUGGCGGCUGGGGAGAGUGGAAAGUUGACAAAACUUCGGGCUCAGACAAUCCUGGUGCAACAGCAAAUUCUGAUGCUUGGGCUGGCUGGGAUAGUAGUGAUAAAAUCCAGUCAGAGAACCAUUCUUCCAAAGAAUUUGAUAAUUCUUCCGCACCUGGUGGUUGGAAUACCAAAAGUCAGCCUUCACAAACCGAUCCUAACGAUUCCUGGGGAGGACAGGCGGAGAAGCCCAAUUCAACGGGUGGUUGGAAUACCAAGAAGCAGCCUUCACAAGAUGAUCCAAAUUCUUCUGCGCCUGGUGGUUGGAAUACCAAAAGUCAGCCUUCACAAAACGAUCCUAACGAUUCCUGGGGAGGACUGGCGGAGAAGGCCAAUUCAACAGGUGGUUGGAAUACCAAGAAGCAGCCUUCACAAGAUGAUCCAAAUUCUUCUGCACCUGGUGGUUGGAAUACUAACGAUUCCUGGGGAGGACAGGCAAAGGCCAAUUCAACAGGUGGUUGGAAUACCAAAAAGCAGCCUUCACAAGAUGAUCCGAAUGAUUCUUGGGGAUAACAGGUGGAGAAAGCCAACACCACUGAUGGUUGGAAUACCAAGACUUAGCCAUCCCAGGCUGAACCUCGUGAUUCUUGUGGAGGACUUGUGGAAAAAACCAACACAACUGGUGGUUGGAAUACCGAGACGCAGUCAUCCCAGGAUGAACCCCCGUGGUAGAGCAGGCAGAAAAAGCCAACACAACUGCUGGUUGGAAUACCAAGACGCAGCCAUCCUAGGCUGAACCUGAUGAUUCUUGGGGAGGACUUGUGGAAAAACCAACACAACUGGUGGUUGGAAUACGAAGACGCAGUCAUCCCAGGCUGAAGCUCAUGAUUCUUGGGGAGGAUUUGCUGAAAAAACCAACACAACUGGUGGUUGGAAUGCCCAAAAGCAGCCACGGAUGAUCCCAGUGAUUCUUGGGGAGGACACGUGGAGAAGGCCAAUGCAACAGGCUAGAAUGGUAAGGAAAGGAAUGGUCUAUGGAACCAAUGGAGUGAGCCACCUAAAAAUGAGACUGUGACCACUAACAACAAAUCAGCAGGUACAUGGGGGACUAUUAUGGCUGGUGAACACGUAAAUCAACCAGUGGAUUCUCAAGUUUGGGGUUCUUCUUCUGUUGGAGAUCAGACUGAAAACGAGAUCCAGUGGAGCCAACACAAAGAACCGCCUGUUAAGCCAUUUGCAUGGGGUACAAAUAAGAAAGAGUUCGUGUGAUUGGGGUUCCUCAAACACUGGGGACUGGAAAAACAAAGGUCGAUGUUUAUGUUACGUACUCGACACAUCUACUUGACAAGCAUUUGAUUCCUGGGAAUUAGAUCAUGGUUAGACUUUUCAGUGGACCAGUUUGGGACAAGGACGGCGAACCGUUGUCAGCGGAGGAUCAAGCUUAUGUGCUUGAAAACAUGUUCAAGUAUCACCCAGAUAAAGAUGUCAAAAUGGGUUGUGGCAUUGAUCAUGGUAUGCUGAGCUGCAAUCUGCCUCUAUUUGAAACUUCGUACAUCUCACCCUAUGAGCUUACCUGUUACCACACAUCUGGUUAAGGCUACCCGCUUCGGCGGACCUUACCAAAUUUUUUUAAUUAUGUUUUUGUGUAAAUGUUCAGAAUUCUUUUUUUUUUCCAAGGAUGAACAACCUUGUCUAGAGAAUUCUUUUUACAACAAUUUUUGAGCAAUCUAAUAAGCGAUUGUUAG